rnacentral:rRNA from 1 species
AGAGUUUGAUCAUGGCUCAGAAUCAACGCUGGCGGCGUGCCUAACACAUGCAAGUCGAGCGAGAGGAAGUAGCAAUACUUUAGUAAAGCGGCGCACGGGUGAGUAACACGUGGAUAACCUGCCUCGAAGUGGGGAAUAACCCCGGGAAACCGGAGCUAAUACCGCAUAUCCUGACGAUUUCUGUGGAUUUUGUCAGUAAAGGAGCAAUUCGCUUUGAGAGGGGUCCGCGGCUGAUUAGCUAGUUGGUGAGGUAAUGGCUCACCAAGGCCACGAUCAGUAGCCGGUCUGAGAGGACGGUCGGCCACACUGGAACUGAGACACGGUCCAGACUCCUACGGGAGGCAGCAGUGGGGAAUUUUUCGCAAUGGGGGCAACCCUGACGAAGCAACGCCGCGUGGGUGAUGAAGUAUUUCGGUACGUAAAACCCUUUCGACGGGGAAGAAACCGCAAGGUUGACGGUACCCGUAGAAGAAGCCCCGGCUAACUCCGUGCCAGCAGCCGCGGUAAUACGGGGGGGGCAAGCGUUGUUCGGAAUUACUGGGCGUAAAGGGCGCGUAGGCGGUUCGCUAAGUUGGAUGUGAAAACUCUGGGCUUAACCCAGAGCCUGCAUCCAAAACUGGCAAACUUGAGUACUGGAGGGGAAAGCGGAAUUCCUGGUGUAGCGGUGAAAUGCGUAGAUAUCAGGAGGAACACCGGUGGCGAAGGCGGCUUUCUGGACAGUAACUGACGCUGAUGCGCGAAAGCUAGGGGAGCAAACAGGAUUAGAUACCCUAGUAGUCC